AGUGAACGCUGGCGGUAGGCCUAACACAUGCAAGUCGAACGGCAGCACAGUAAGAGCUUGCCCUUACGGGUGGCGAGUGGCGGACGGGUGAGGAAUACAUCGGAAUCUACUUUUUCGUGGGGGAUAACGUAGGGAAACUUACGCUAAUACCGCAUACGACCUACGGGUGAAAGCAGGGGAUCUUCGGACCUUGCGCGAUUGAAUGAGCCGAUGUCGGAUUAGCUAGUUGGCGGGGUAAAGGCCCACCAAGGCGACGAUCCGUAGCUGGUCUGAGAGGAUGAUCAGCCACACUGGAACUGAGACACGGUCCAGACUCCUACGGGAGGCAGCAGUGGGGAAUAUUGGACAAUGGGCGCAAGCCUGAUCCAGCCAUACCGCGUGGGUGAAGAAGGCCUUCGGGUUGUAAAGCCCUUUUGUUGGGAAAGAAAAGCAGCAGGUUAAUACCCCGCUGUUCGGACGGUACCCAAAGAAUAAGCACCGGCGAACUUCGU
rnacentral:rRNA from 1 species